rnacentral:rRNA from 1 species
AGAGUUUGAUCAUGGCUCAGGACGAACGCUGGCGGCGUGCCUAACACAUGCAAGUCGAACGAAGUAUAUUUUCGGAUAUGCUUAGUGGCGGACGGGUGAGUAACGCGUGAACAAUCUGCCCCAUACAAAGGAAUAGCCUCGGGAAACCGGGAUUAAAACCAUAUGACACUUUAAUACCGCAUGGUACAGAAGUCAAAUUGAAUUAGAGGUAUGGGAUGAGUUCGCGUCUGAUUAGCUAGUUGGUAGGGUAACGGCCUACCAAGGCGACGAUCAGUAGCCGGCCUGAGAGGGUGAACGGCCACACUGGAACUGAGACACGGUCCAGACUCCUACGGGAGGCAGCAGUGGGGAAUAUUGCACAAUGGAGGAAACUCUGAUGCAGCGACGCCGCGUGAGUGAAGAAGGUCUUCGGAUCGUAAAACUCUGUCCUUGGUGAAGAUAAUGACGGUAACCAAGGAGGAAGCCCCGGCUAACUACGUGCCAGCAGCCGCGGUAAUACGUAGGGGGCGAGCGUUGUCCGGAUUUACUGGGCGUAAAGGGUGAGUAGGCGGUUGUAUAUGUCAGGUGUAAAAGGCUAAGGCUUAACCAUAGUUAGCACUUGAAACUGUACAACUUGAGUGCAGGAGAGGUAAGCGGAAUUCCUAGUGUAGCGGUGAAAUGCGUAGAUAUUAGGAGGAACACCAGUGGCGAAGGCGGCUUACUGGACUGUAACUGACGCUGAGUCACGAAAGCGUGGGUAGCAAACAGGAUUAGAUACCCUGGUAGUCCACGCUGUAAACGAUGAGUGCUAGGUGUUGGGUAGCGAUACUCAGUGCCGGAGUAAACACAAUAAGCACUCCGCCUGGGGAGUACGGUCGCAAGACUGAAACUCAAAUGAAUUGACGG